AGAGUUUGAUCAUGGCUCAGGACGAACGCUGGCGGCAUGCCUAACACAUGCAAGUCGAACGAGAAAGUUCCUUCGGGAGCAAUUAAAGUGGCGCACGGGUGAGUAACGCGUAGACAAUCUGCCCUUCAGUCUGGGACAACUUUUCGAAAGGAGAGCUAAUACCGGAUAACAAUGCAUGACACAAGUUGUAUAUUUGAAAGCUUUAUGUGCUGAAGGAGGGGUCUGCGUCCCAUUAGCUAGUUGGUAAGGUAAAGGCUUACCAAGGCAACGAUGGGUAGCGGGUUUGAGAGGACGAUCCGCCACACUGGAACUGAGACACGGUCCAGACUCCUACGGGAGGCAGCAGUGGGGAAUAUUGCACAAUGGAGGAAACUCUGAUGCAGCAAUGUCGCGUGAGUGAAGAAGGCCCUUGGGUCGUAAAGCUCUUUUAUGGGGGAAGAUGAUGACGGUACCCCAAGAAUAAGCACCGGCUAACUAUGUGCCAGCAGCCGCGGUAAUACAUAGGGUGCGAGCGUUGUUCGGAAUUACUGGGCGUAAAGGGCGCGCAGGCGGAAUAGUA
rnacentral:rRNA from 1 species